ensembl:lncRNA
GUGAGUCAUAAUAAUCGCGUACAUCCAUAACUCCAACAUAAUAAUAGGAGACGCCCGUGCAGAAGUCACUGAGACACGUGCUGAGCAUGUACAUGAAGCGGUUCUCGCUGCGCAGGGAUCUGUUCAUCACGAUGGACACAAACACGGACACGUUGAUACAAAUGAUGGCUGUGGCGAGAGUUAUACUGAAGAGAAAAAAAAGGAUGUUCUCGAAACUAGUAAGAGGCAGCACGGUGCCGAGACCCGCACUACUCUGAGAAAUAUUCAUGAGUGAGGAGAGUAACAGUGAAUGCACGCGCGAGAGAGCACAACCACAGAUGAUAAAUAAUACUGUAUGAAUGAAAGCUGAUGGUGAGAGCGCGCGAGUGAACCGAGACACGCGUGCAGGGCGUUUUUAAAAUGAGGAGGACUGUCUGAGAUUCACGUGGCAGGAUGAUUGAAACUGUUUUCAGGCCUUUUUUCCCAUUAUCUUUGCAUAAUGUGCGCACAUACAUAACCAAGCUUCCCAGAUCGCACACGUACGUCUGCAAGACGUCUGUAAGGUUAAGAAGUGGAGUUCAUAUUUCAUGUUGGAAAGUUGUAAUGCUUAGAAUUUAAUAUGAUUUAUAUUUGAGUUAAUAUACUAGAAGUAUAUUUACAAUGUUUAGUCAGUUAAUUAUCUACACCUUUAUGUGUUUACAUAUUUAAUGCAGUAAGGAUAUUCUGCUGAAUCUGCCUAUCUGAUUCACUCACGUUUAUCUCAGUCUAAGUCCUUGCUUCUGAUUGGUUAGUGACGUCACGUGAAAGGCUGUGUUUAAGGAAGUGUUGUUGUUGUGACGGUGUUCAGUAAAAAUGCUGCUUGAGGAAGUCUUCUGUCUCCAUUCUGCUGUUCAUUAUCAUAAAGAGUGAUCU